rnacentral:rRNA from 1 species
GACGAACGCUGGCGGCGUGCUUAACACAUGCAAGUCGAGCGGUAAGGCCCUUUCGGGGGUACACGAGCGGCGAACGGGUGAGUAACACGUGGGUGACCUGCCCUCAGCUCUGGGAUAAGCCUGGGAAACUGGGUCUAAUACUGGAUAUGACUCCACGGUGCAUGUCGUGGGGUGGAAAGCCUUGUGCGGCUGAGGAUGGGCCCGCGGCCUAUCAGCUUGUUGGUGGGGNGAUGGCCUACCAAGGCGACGACGGGUAGCCGGCCUGAGAGGGCGACCGGCCACACUGGGACUGAGACACGGCCCAGACUCCUACGGGAGGCAGCAGUGGGGAAUCUUGCGCAAUGGGACGAAAGCCUGACGCAGCGACGCCGCGUGAGGGAUGACGGCCUGGU